rnacentral:rRNA from 1 species
GACGAACGCUGGCGGCGUGCUUAACACAUGCAAGUCGAACGGAAAGGCCCUGCUUUUGUGGGGUGCUCGAGUGGCGAACGGGUGAGUAACACGUGAGUAACCUGCCCUUGACUUUGGGAUAACUUCAGGAAACUGGGGCUAAUACCGGAUAGGAGCUCCUGCUGCAUGGUGGGGGUUGGAAAGUUUCGGCGGUUGGGGAUGGACUCGCGGCUUAUCAGCUUGUUGGUGGGGUAGUUGCUUACCAAGGCUUUGACGGGUAGCCGGCCUGAGAGGGUGACCGGCCACAUUGGGACUGAGAGACGGCCCAGACGCCUACGGGAGGCAGCAGUGGGGAAUAUUGCACAAUGGGCGGAAGCCUGAUGCAGCAACGCCGCGUGCGGGAUGACGUCCUUCGGGUUGUAAACCGCUUUCGCCUGUGACGAGGCGUGAGUGACGGUAAUGGGUAAAGAAGCACCGGCUAACUACGUG